ensembl:lncRNA
AUGGAGCAAAACAUUGCUGAUUUUCUGCUGGAUGCAUUCCCAGCUGAGACAAACUUUGAGAAUCUAAAUUUUGAUGACGACACAGCAACAGCUCACGGCGUUAAUGCACCUCAAAAUGAGCCAGGCAUGGAGGAGGAUAACAGUCACAGAGAAUCCAGUGGAUCUGAUUCUGAUGUAGAUUUAGAGUGGACAAAUAGGGAAGAGGAAACUAAGCAUUGUUUUGAGAACAAUAGGAACUUCUCUUUAGAUGAACAAAGCAUGAAGGCAGGAUCUACGCUUUGUGGUUCAUGGGAUGACAACGAUCCAGUCGAAAAUAAAACACAAACCCGAAACCAGCAAUUAAGCUUGCAUGAAGAUGACUGCAGAGAGAAUGCAUUUGAGAUACAUGAAGAUAUCCAUGAAGAUGAAGAUGUCAGUGUGCUGGAAAUGGUUCUUCCGAAAGGAACUCACUAUGGUCUGGAAACAACGAGCACAAGGACUCAAGAGGAGACCACAUCUCAUCUGCUGUCCUACCAGAUGGUGGAUAAAACUGAAAAUGAAAGCUCAGCGUCAAAAGAGGAAAGAAUGGAGCCUGAUAGCACUGAGGAACAUGUACUUCAGCAUUCACCAGAUGAUAAGCAGCUCAAUCAUUUUAGUGCCAUACAGUCAACACGGCAAGAUUGGAAAGUAGAAUCAGUGGAGGUCCAAUCUGGGGAUGAGAUGAACGAGUUUACAGAAGAAGAUCUUGAGGAUGAUGAGAGAGACGAAGAAGGUUUAGCAGAGUAUUCCUCUGAUCUGUCUCAAAGUGACAGUGGGGACAGCAGUGAAGGUCAUGAGGGUGGACAACCCAAUCACACAGACAGCAAUCUAGUUGAGGAGCAGGCUGUAGGCCUAGGUUGUUCCUAUGAGACGAAGAACCUAGAAGAACCUCUACUGACUUACAGUGUUGUAACUUCAAGGGAAGAUGAUGAUGUCCAAAAGAAGGGUGAAUGUUUGGAUCCUGCAGACAUGUUCACUUAUGUCAAGACUGAGGAUCUGUAUGUGGAGGCAACAACUGGGAAAUCUGACGAUGGCAUAUUGUUCCAGACAAAGCAGGGCAGUUUUAGAGAUGCUGGAUAUCACCGUGAGAUUUCAAACAUUGGGGAAAGUUCUGAUUUUGGAUUCUCUAAGAAUUUCCAAUCCAAUACCAGUGAAUGCUACAUGAGUGAACAGCCCGACUAUGAUAUACCUAAGAAGAGAUACCUGAACCCAGAAGAUAUACCUGAAUUCAUUUCACAUACAGUCUCAGAGGACAAAAACACACCUCUCCAGAAACAAGAGCACACCUUCACAAUGGACUUUGCUUCAGACUGGAACAGUAUUGAGCAUGAAGUAGUGGAUGGGGUGGUCAAAGAUAGUCAGAAACCAGAGAUGUGUGGUGUAGAAAGUUUAUCAAGCAUUCCAGCAUCUCAUGGAACUGUAAUGAAAUGUUCUACUGAAACUGAUUUGUCUGAAAACAUAAGUGUUGGUGAGUCACAUCCAUCAGAGUCUGUUUCAGUGAAAACAGACCAGAACAACCAAGAACAUAAGAGUGAACAUUCAGAAGUUUCAGACAUUGGAGAAAAUAUCAACACUUUGUUACCUGAGAUGUUUUGGUCCCAGGACAACUUGAAGCUUGAUGAAUAUGACUGGGACAUUAAUGAAGAAGAGGUGAUCUGUGAUGAAGAGGAGAAUUUCCUGGAAGAGUUGGAGAAUGAUGGAGAGGAGACCGAGAGGGACUGGGAGAAAGAAAAGGCAAGAAUUGAAGCAUUUAACAGAUAUUAUGAGCCUGUCGAAGGAGAGGAAAACAAGGCGAGAAGCCACAAAGUGAAAUUUUGUUUGGAGCCAGAAUCCUCUCAGUAUGAGGAGGAUAGUUACAGCAGUGAAGAGGAACUGAGCACAAAGCGUUGCAUCAGUGAGUUGCAUCCUCCAGAGUCCAGUUCAGUCAAACAAGACCAAAGCAACGAGGAAGACAGCCGUGAACCCUCAGAAGUUUCAGACAUCAGAGAAAAUAUCAGCACCUUUCUGAUGGAUGAGGACAACAUGAAGCUUGAUGAUUAUGACCGUGAUAUAAAUGAAGAAGAAGAGUUCUUUAAAAUUAACUCAAGUAAGGUGAUCUGUGAUGGUGAUGAUGAUGUUGAUUUCUUGGAGAAGCUGAAAAUUGAAAUAGAGAGGGAUAUGGAGCAGGAACAAGCGAGAAUUGAAGCAUGUAACAGAUAUCAUGGAGAGUCUUUUAAAGAGGAGCAAAAUGAGGUAACAGACGGGACCCACAAAGUUAUGUUAAGGUUUCACCAACAACCUUCUCAAAAUGAGGAAGAUAAUGAUAGCAGUGAACAGGAGUCAAACACAGAAGAUGACACUGCCAGCAUCCUGAAGACUGAGGUGAGAACAUCAGAUCAUCAAGGAUACAACAAAAUGAUCAAAUAA